CCCUAUGGGGUGCAGCAGGCGGCCCGGGGCGACACGACAGAAGCACGAGGAGGCAACGAGGUAUGCAGGUUUCCGUGACCUUCCGGAAUACGGGGUCAGAGAGCUGGUUCAAGGAUUACGUGACGGAGCGGCUGAGCAGGAUCCAGAAAUACAUCGACAAGCCCGUGGAGGCCCACGUGGUCCUCACGGUGGAGAAGUUCCGGAACGUGGCCGAAGUCAACAUCAUGGCCAAGGGCAUCAACCUGGUCGGCAAGGAAGAGGCCAAGGACAUGCAGCCGGCCAUCGACAACGUCAUCGACAAAAUCGAGCGCCAGAUCAAGAAACACAAGGAAAAGAGCCGGGACCACAAAUCCGGCGCGAACCGUCCCGAGGAAUCGGGGGGGAGC
rnacentral:rRNA from 1 species